UCUCUCUCUGUGUAUUUCAUUCUUGGUCCCUCUCUCACAUCAGAAGCGUUGAAAUGCACCCCAGGGCCAAAUAGCACUGAACAACCCCUCUGAGCCAAAGGGGGGGGGGCUGGAAUCCGUUUGCCCCGAUAUUUCACCAGCACCAGCCAGGAGCGUGGGGAGAGAAGUGGAGAGAGAGGGAGAGGCAUGGGAUGGAUGGGAAAACGACAAACCGGGGCUGCAUUUAUUUGGGGUGUGUGUGUGAAUGCCACACUGCAGGCUGUGGGAUGGUCUGGAGAAGUGUGAGGUGUUGCUGUUAAGUGGGAAAGAGCAUGCACAGAUAGCAUGGUGGAAGACUUGGGUUGGGGGGGAGAAAAAAGGUGGAGGUGGUUGUUGUUGGGGGGAGAUGGAAGGAUUGGUCAUGCGCAAGUCACCUCACCACUUUGCAAUGCCACCUGGUUGUGGUAAAAGGCUUGUCUGCACUUUGAAUGCAGUCAGAGUCAAGGCUGAGCAUGAGGAGGUCACACAGAGACCGCGGGCCGUUGGAGGCAUCUUAAAAAUCUCUUACAUCUGGAGGAGCCAUAAUUCACAGGAUUUGGCCUGACAGCCAUGACAGCCAUUGGGGCGGCCAGCAACAACUGUCUCCUGUGUUAGCAGCCCAGUAUGUGUCUGAGAGAGAGCGAGAGAAAGAGAACAAUAUUUCUAUGCCUUUUUAGUGUACAUCUAAUCUAUGCAGAUGCUAUUAAAUGUGAUCAAAUUUGCUCUGAUAUAAUAAUAAUAUAAUAUACAUAACAGCAAUAUAUUUUGAAUUAUUUCUGAAUUACAGUCAGGGUUAGGGGCAGCAACAGGUUGUUGUUUUUCUCAAACGUCAUCGCUCCACGUGAUAUGGCCCUAAAUAUUCCACACGGACAGUAGCGAUCAUUUCCAAGCCUAAAAUCCUGCAUUCCACAUUCCUCAUUCAGACGGCUUGCCUGCUAAGCCGGCGGGCACCACAUGAACAGCCAUUGUUAGAGAAGGAGGGUCAUGUAUUUCUCUCUCUCCGGCCAUCCGUCUGUCCGUCUAUCUGUCUGUCUGUCUGUAUUCUCUUGUCACACAUCCACGGCUACCUCUUCUUGUCCGCCUUCAUCUCUCUUACGUGUCGCUUUACUGCCCACUCCUACCGUUCGCCUACCACCUCGUAUUUCUUUUAUGCUCGUCUAUACCUCGCUUCUGGUUCCCACUGAUGUUGUUAGGCUGGCAACUCUUUUACGAUGCCUUCUGCUUCCUCUGUCUUUGUGUCCCUCUUGAUUCCCUUUGCACGUCUCCUUUCCCGUCUGCGUUUCCAGAAAUUCAUGUCGAGCUUUUCUUCACAUUAGAUACAGAUUUAUGACCUACAGCUUGAUCCCCAUGGUCACUAAAUUUGAUACCAUAGACUAAGCCACGUUGUUUUCUUGUAUGUUCGGACUUCACUGCGCUUGUGGGUAGGCUCGGCAACACCUGUCGGGUUCCAAGCGUUCCAAGAUGGCUGAUUUAUUUUUAAUCGCUUAGUGCCUGAUUCAAAUGUAUAUAUAUAUUAGCGUUAUUAUUCUUCGCUUUGCGUAAGGCAGACACUGAGGUUGUUGGAGCUGUAGCAAGGUGUGUGUGAGGGGUGUCCGUGUGUGUGUUUGUGUUCAUGUGGGGAUGGAAAAAAAAAUGCCUUUUGAGGCCGCACAUUUGGUUUUAUUUUCAUUCCAUUUACUUCAUUUGAUUUAUAUUUGAAAGGAGUAAAAUAUAUUUAAAAACAUAUGCAAUGCUUCAUCUAAUUAUAUAUCAGGUGGCAUUGUAAUUUUUUACAUAUAUGUAUUUACAAACCUGACGUAUUACAAAUUGUUUUGAUGAGCACGAGCGUAUCAUUUUUGGAACUGUUGGAACAUUUUGUUCUGAAACGCAUUUGGAGUUUAGCUCAUAUGAGUGUGAUCAUUCUGUUCAGCUGUUGAAAUGAUUAAUGUCAUAUCAUAUUUUAGGAUCUUAUACAUGGAGGUAAAACUAGAUGGCGUGCAUUAAAAGGGAAAAUAAAAUUUUUUGUGCUUAUUCUUUUUUCUUAUUUUGUUCUCACGGAUGACACCAUCUCUAAAUAUUCAAUUGUAUAAACAUACACUCUUCGAAGUGAGAAAAAAAUGAAUAAAAGAGAAACAGGUGGAAAAGAAUCCUGAUAGAGUUUGAUAAAGAAUUCUGACAGGAGUCACGUCACAGGCGCUUGUCCUCUUGCCAUGCAUACCUGAUUUGCUGGAGGUGGUAUUUGUAGUGUAUUUAUGUUUCCUUAUUUGAAUCCUAUUCCACAAGUUGCCACUGGUGGGGCGUAUUACAAUGACACCAGCCAUUGUAAUGUUGUUUGCGCCAAGCGAGGUGGAAUUUUCCGUUUGAUGUUUGGUUGGGCUGAAAUGCACCAAAUAAAAGCCUCGCGAGAUAAAGGUGUGUUCUUGCACA